rnacentral:lncRNA from 1 species
GGUCCUGAGAAUGUCGGUGCUGCCAUGGGAACUGGUGGCCUGGUUUGCAGUGUGCGCCGCCAGGAUCCUGCUCUCCAUCUAGGCCUACCAUGUGGAGCAGGAGAAGGAGAGGGAACCUGAGCACUGGGCGUUCUGUGACCAGGGGCCCUGGGUGAAGUGCUAUGCCUCCCUGGCCUCCGGCUUGUCUAGUCCUGAAGAUGGGGUCAAGGGUUUGGUUUUUUGGGUUCCAGUUUUGGAAAAGAUGGUGUAUUAAGCCAGCCAAACAAUGUCUUUGGACUUAUAUUUUAUAUACUACAGUUAUUACAUGACAGCCAGUGAAGAUGCAACUCUGGUCCUCCUGACCUCCACUGUGUCUGUGGUGGGCUCUUUGUGCCUGGCCUACAUUCUGUACUUUAUGCUGAAGGAGUUUUGCAUCAUCUGUGUCACCACGUAUGUGCUGAACAUCCUCCUGCCCUUCAUCAUCAUCAAAUACAAACGACUAGGUUAUUUGAAUGAGGCCUGGAAGCCGACAGCUGAAGCCUAAGGAA